rnacentral:rRNA from 1 species
CAGUAGCCACGGUAACACCAGCAGCCCAAGUGGUGGUCGCGAUUAUUGGGCCUAAAGCGCUCGUAGCCGGGCCGGUAAGUCCCUUGUGAAAUCGGACGGCCUAACCGUUCGGCGUGCAAGGGAUACUGUCGGUCUUGAGGCCGGGAGACGUCCGAGGUACUCCGGGGGUAGCGGUGAAAUGUUCUGAUCCUCGGGGGACCACCGGUGGCGAAGGCGUUCGACGAGAACGGGCCUGACGGUGAGGGGCGAAGGCUAGGGGAGCAAACAGGAUUAGAUACCCCAGUAGUCCCUGUCUCUUAUU